AAAAAGCUAAAAAAAAUUUACCAAUUUCACAUGAAGACCCUUCUAUGCUAUAAUUUCUGGAAGUGAAUAAUUCGGACUGACUUACAAUGGGAUGUCUGUUUCCUCGUCUUCCUGAUGAAAUUGGGAUGGAAUGCCUGGUGAGGGUAAAGUUGAAGGCUUUUCACAAUCUCAGGUGUGUCUGCAAAAGCUGGAACGCCGCAUUGAAAAGUCCCCAAUUUUAUCAAGAAAGAAAGAGAUUGAAGAUUUCAGAGCAACGGAUUUGUAUGCUCCAGAAAAUAGACUACAAUCGCAACAGAGUAGCGGUAUACGACCCGAACGAGAACUCGUGCAAAAGUCUACCGCCCAUUCCCGCAGAAAUUUACGGCAUCUGUCACUUCCAUUUCGUGAAACAAAAACUCGUUUUGAUCAAGGAUAUGCAUCUCGACCCUAGAAGAAGUUUUGUGUGGUUGUACGAUUUUCGGAAUGGUGGUUCGAAAUGGCGACAGGGUGCCAAAACGCCAACGGAUUUGUCGAAUGGAUUUGCCUCUGGAGCGGAUGAGCACGGGGGAGUGAUUUAUGUGGCUGGAGGGUUUAGUAAUGAUGAGUUUGACAACCCGGUCCGUAACGCUUCAGUUUACAAUGUGGAGGAGGACAAGUGGGAUGUUCUUCCCGACAUGAACACCGACCUGGAGUACUUUAGAGGUGCUUUUGCUGACGGUAAGUUUUAUGUAAUGGGCAUCCCGUCUGACCCCAGCUUUGAGGUUUUUGAUUCUUACACGAGAAGCUGGAAAACUAUGGAGAAUAGAUUCAACUAUUGGCGUUGUUUGGUAAGUGCAUUUGAGCGCUUGCAUUUCUUGUAUGAUGGUAGAUUGAUUGAAUAUGACUACAGUCAAGAUAAUGUGAACAUUGUAGGGACUUUUCCAACGGAGAAUUGGGGCCGAUCCAUUAAGUCUGCUGUAGUUGUUAGCAAUAAAAUCUUUCUGAUCAAACGGGAUGGUAUUCAAAGUCAAUGUUUUUUUAUGCUCGAACCUCCAAGUGAGAUAGGAGGAAAAUUCAAGUUGAUUGGCAUUGAGAGACCAUCUGGCCUCCAGGGUUAUGCUGUAUAUGCUGCUACCCUGGAUCUCUAACAUCUUCCGUCAUUAUUUGUUUCCUUGAUAGAUGGAAGAAAUUGAAUCAAAGGUUUCCUCUUUGUAUUUGAUCUGCCUUGAAGGAAAAAAUGUUAUCUGAUUUGGAAGUAUGAGAAAUUGUGCUCUUCAAAUUUUGGUUGUAAAGAGUCUUUGCCUUUGGAAUUGGGUUGGGUGAGAAUUUAUCCUCUUUUUCAUUUUGGGUUUCUCUAUUUAAUAAGAAUUCUUGUUUUAACCAUCUGGGUUGUUGAGAAUGUUGUUUAUAACUAGGGAAAGAUGGGUUCGGAUUGCCUUAAGGCAACAUCCGAACCCAUUUAGGACUGGGUCCUAUCUUUAAGGGGUAGCGUGGCCCCAAGACAAGUCCAGCCCCAUCCUCCACGCUACACCAAAAAGGACUCAUGCCACAAAAUAUAAAUUGGCAUCAAAAAGGAUUGAGGCCGACCUUGGUCAAAAGAUCCAUAUAAAUAAAGUUAAAGUGCAAACACAAUUUAAUGAUCAAUGCAAUCAGCGAAUUAGCUCUGCUGAUAAAAGUGCGAAUUUAUCCAAGGAUUGUGCGCAGACUUGAAGUGCUGAGAAGUGCAGAUCUGACAUACAAAAGGGAUCAGAUCUGGAGAAGCAAGCUAAGUAUUGUAUUUGUGCAAUUAAGAGAAUAUAUAAUCUUACCUGUGGGUCUUUAA